UCCCUGGUGGCUCAGUGGGUUAAGGGUUUGGCAUUGUUGCUGCUGUAGCUCUGGUUCAAUCCCUGGCCUGGGAA
rnacentral:tRNA from 1 species